rnacentral:tRNA from 1 species
AGAGAGGUGUCCGAGUGGUCGAAGGAGCACGAUUGGAAAUCGUGUAGGCUCAAAAGGUCUCGAGGGUUCGAAUCCCUUCCUCUCUG